GCAAACGCCGGGAGUAGCCGAAGGGGACGCCGGGAACAGGAAUUUCUUCACAUGGCUCCUGGAGAAGUGACCAUCACAGUUCGCCUCAUCCGUUCCUUUGAACAUCGCAAUUUCAAACCUGUAGUGUAUCACGGAGUGAAUUUGGACCAAACUGUAAAGGAAUUUAUCGUAUUUCUAAAGCAAGAGUCUCGCUCUGUUGCCCAGACUGGAGUGCAGUGGCGUGGUCUCGGCUAACAACCUCUGGCUCCUGAAUUGAAGCGAUUCUCC
rnacentral:lncRNA from 10 species